AAGUCGUAACAAGGUAACCGUAGGUGAACCUGCGGAAGGAUCAUUAACACUUUAAUCCCAAUAUAAACAACUGAGAACAUGUACCUCUACCUGAGAAUAAAAUACUGUCUAAUGUAUAGUGUAUGGUGAAAGUAGGGUUUACUCUACUAGCUAUUCAUUGACUAGAAGCCGUCGUCUCGACGAGCUUCAGGUUUUUAUUUUUAGGCUAUUUUACGCCAUCACCAUGGUAUAUAACAAUAUUAACAACUAUAAUUAAAUUGAACUAAUCUAUGCUUCACUAGUAGUAAAAUACUAGUAGAAUCAAGUUUAUACGAAACUAAGAACAACUCUUAGCAAUGGAUAUCUUGGUUCCC
rnacentral:misc_RNA from 1 species